GAAUAUUGGACAAUGGGCGAAAGCCUGAUCCAGCCAUGCCGCGUGGGUGAAGAAGGCAUUCAGGUUGUACAGCCCUUUUGUUGGGGAAGAAAUCCUGCUGGCUAAUACCCGGCGGGGAUGACGGUACCCAAAGAAUACGCCACGGCCAACUUCGUGCCAGCACCCGCGGUAAUACGAAGGGUGCAAGCGUUACUCGGAAUUACUGGGCGUAAAGCGUGCGUAGGGGGUGGCUUAAGUCCGUUGUGAAAGCCCUGGGCUCAACCUGGGAAUUGCAGUGGAUACUGGGUCACUAGAGUGUGGUAGAGGGUGGCGGAAUUCCCGGUGUAGCAGUGAAAUGCGUAGAGAUCGGGAGGAACACCCGUGGCGAAGGCGGCCACCUGGGCCAACACUGACACUGAGGCACGAAAGCGUGGGGAGCAAACAG
rnacentral:rRNA from 1 species